UUGAUUUUAAGUUUUUUUUUUUCUGCAAAUGAUUUGUGUUUUGGGGUUUUUUCGACUGGGUUCUUCCAUGUUGUCAAACAAGAACUCUUUCUUCUUUCAAUUAAAGCUGAUUUGUGUUUUGGGGUUUUGAGUUUGGGUAUAGUUCUUCAAUUUUGUAACACGUUUCUUCUGUUUUGUUGGUCUUGUUAGGGAAACUUGGUGCUGCAAAAGGAUUUGCUGGGAAGGCUCACUGCUCGUAGUGUAGUGCAGAAAAACAGAAGGCUUGUUUGUCUAAAUUUAUGGGGAGUAUUUUUCCCCAAUCAAUUUAUGGGUCUUGUUAAUUCAUUACCUAGACUCUUUGACAGCCAAACACUCAGUUAACAAAAACCAAGCUAUCUCUGUUCUCUUUCCAUUCUGCUCCCACUUCUCUCCUAAGCUCUCAAAUACUUGAAUCUUCUCACUUCAUUUUCAUCUAAGGUCGAAAAUCAGUAGCUACUUUACCUCUAUGCCUUGCUUCUCAUCAUGUUAAGAGAACAAAUGGAGGACAUUGAGAUUUCAAACCACUGAGCUUCUCUCUAUUUUGCUUCAAUACCAGAAAUUUUCUUUCCUUUCGAAUAAGCCCACAUAUGGUGAAGCUCUAGCUAUUGCCCAGUCUCUAAUUGAGUGAUUUAUCGAGUUAUGGGAUUUGCCCAAUCGAAGUAUGUGACCUUAAUUCCUAUACCACUCAGUCAUUUGAACAAAUUUAAAAGUUCAACCGUUGUACCGAGUCGGGGCCUCCAUCAUUCGCAAACACAUAAGUAGAAGAACCUUACUGUUCAAAGCUCACAAUCAAGAUUGGUCAGAGGAACAACAAAAACCCUAGAAUCAUAGUCCUCCACUUUAUUGAAUAGCAUUGUUCCAAUGGAGAAGGAUCAGAAGGUAGCAUCUGAAGACCCCAAGGUGGAUAUGUUUGAGGACGAUGACGAGUUUGAAGAGUUCAACAUCAAUCUAGGUUGCUUGAUUUCUGCUAUACUUCCCCAUGAAACUAGCAAGUUUAUGACUGAGCCCGUAAGUGUUAAACGUGAUGAGUUGAUAAUAUAGGUAUGCAAUUAAUCCUCCUGUUUUUUUUCCUCUCUCUAUGAUGUCUAUAAUUCUCACCUUUUGAAUGGAUUCUGUGAUCAGUUUGUUUUUUUAGAUUGAUUUGCCAAACGACUGUGGUCACUCAAUUCAACUUGGAACUAUGAUUUUUUUUUUGGGAGCUUCUGUAUAAUGAAUUUGAUUGUAAUGACACCUUCUAAUUAUGUUUUUCUUUUUGUUGCGAGGAUCAUGUGUGUUCUGUGAGACGUUGUGAGAAAUUUUAAAACUUUGAUUGGCGAUCUUAGGCCUUGGUCGCCUGAGCCAAACGGCGCCAUUUUGGAGGAGAGGCCGAUCUCAUCUUCUUCAUCCAUGUUUUCAAUUUCAACAAAUCAGAGGGACAUUUCCGUCGAGUACUGGCGGAGAGAGGAGGAGGCAAUGCAGGGGGUUAUAGCUCAGAUCCAACGUACUCACGUCUCCGAGCGGAGAAGGAAAGCCGCCAUUGAUUACGUUCAGAGGAUCAUUGGAGCUUGUAUUGGUUGUUAGGUGUUCCCGUUUGGAUCACUACCUCUGAAGACGUAUCUGCCGGAUGGAGUGCUGUUCUUGAAAGGGAAGAUCACAAUAUGGCUGCUGAGUUUAUGGUGAAGGACGUGUAGUUAAUUCGGGCAAAGCUCAGAAACACUUGAAUCUGCUUACUUCACUUUCAUCUAAGGUCGAAAAUCAGUAGCUACUUUAUGUCUACGCCUUGCUUCUCAUCAUGUUAGGAGAACAAAUGGGGGACUCUGAGAUUUCAAACCACUAACCUCUCUAUUUUGAUCAGUAUCAGAAACUUUCUUUUGGAUCAAGGGCUCAAGUAGACUGAAGAUUGGUCCUUUGGUACUUGUUGGGAGUUGCACAUCAAGGAUUCCAGGUUAAGCUUGUAAAGUGCCUUGUGCAAAAUAUUGUGGUUCAUAUAUCCUUCAAUCAGUUAGGAGGGCUAUGUACGUUAUGCUUUCUUGAGCAGGUUGAUCGCCUCAUUGGCAAACAUCAUCUCUUUAGACGUAGUAUCAUACUGAUUAAGGCAUGGUGCUAUUGUGAGAGUCGAAUUCUCGAUGCCCAUCACGGUUUGAUAUCGACAUAUGGUUUGGUGACUUUAGUUCUUUUUAUCUACGUGUCAUUGUUUCAGGUGAAAGGAGAGUGAUCCUAAGGGACCACAGUAUGCAAACAACACUUCAAAACUUGAAUCUGAUCUCUCAAGUCAGUGGAGAUCGCUCAUUCACAUGGAGGAUAUCUUCGUAAAUGAAGGCAACCACUUUAUGAGUGUAGCCACCUUCUUGUUUUAUUUAUUAUAAAUUUACCUAUUUUUGAGCAUUUGUCAUGUUCUCCAAUGUCUCAAUUUUUAUGAAAAUGAUCCAAACUCUUUUGCUCUACAAUCCAAAUUAAAUAGUCUAAGUUUGUUAGAUCCUUAAAUCUAUCAAAAUGUGAUCUUUUGCUCUCUCUGUCGAAUCGCGACUUCUUUCUUUUGGGGUCGUAUUCUGAUAAAUAUUCUUGGUUCUGCUUGUUUUGCUACUUAGUUAUUGGUUGCCACUAUUAUCAUCAAUUUUGUCAAGGAACAAGAAGGUGCGUAGUUGUACACCUGACUUGCAAACUAAGUUCUAAUGUAACCUUCUAUAUAUUUAAAUGAAUGGUUACAUAAUGGGAAAAUUGGCACAUCUCUGUUUACUUUUGCAAUUUUAGUUAUAUUGUUCAUUGUGUGAUAUUCAGUACUGUUGUAAUGAUAUUUUGGGACUUGUGGUUUUACAGUUUCCUUUAUCAAGUGUUGAACAAAUCCAAUAUGCUUGACAUGAUUGGCUUGGUAGACCCUGCUCAGACUGGUGUCAUUGGCUGUGGAAAUCCGACUAAACGAGCUCGUUCUUUGUCAGCUUCUUAUUAAAGAGGGAAGCCUAGUCAGAUUUUUUGGGUGCCCUAUAACUCAGGAUUUCUAGGUGUGUGACUGAUUUGGGCGAGGAGAAGGAAGGCGAUUCUGGAGGAAACGGGAGAGGAAUUGAAUGAUUGUAUUAAGCCAUUAGACUUGAUUCUGCAUGAAGGAAUCCAAAACAAACUAGACCAAUGCGCGCGUAAUCGAGCUUAUUUGGUUUUUUCUCCGUCAACAUCACUACAAUGAAGCUUCUGUUUCGACGAAAAGCUUCUGAAUUUUGAAAUUUUCAGCUGUUCAAAAGCUAUACUUGAACCAUUGAAUCAACUUUUGUCACCAGAGGUGAUCAACUUGAUUUUAUGCAAAAAAGUGUACGUAUCAUUGCAGUGCCACUGUUCCUUGGUCUGCUGUUUAUCGUUGUCUCCAUCUUUUAUUCUUAUUCAGAUUUUGGGAACAAUGUGCUGUCGGAUAGUUUAAUUUUCUGCAAUUCAGGAAGCAGCUUUUUGGACAACCUCCAAAGCUAAUCAUCACUAGGCUAACAACUUUUCAGCAACUAAUGUCACUUUUGGUAGACAUCGACAUCUCUUUUUGGUACCCAAAUGAAGCAACGAUUGUAACUAGGUUAGCCUAGGACAAUAUAUUUUUGAUAAGCUGUUUUAACAGCAGUUGUAAUAUAUAUUUGAACAUUACCCGAAUAUCUAUAUUAAUGGUAAUGUUAGUCAAGCAAUAUCUAUGU